rnacentral:rRNA from 1 species
CAGUCGCCGCGGUAAUACGAGGGGGGCAAGCGUUGUUCGGAAUUAUUGGGCGUAAAGGGCGCGUAGGCGGUUUGGCAAGUUUGGUGUGAAAUCUUCGGGCUCAACUCGAAGUCUGCAUCGAAAACUGCCGGGCUUGAGUGUGGGAGAGGUGAGUGGAAUUUCCGGUGUAGCGGUGAAAUGCGUAGAUAUCGGAAGGAACACCUGUGGCGAAAGCGGCUCACUGGACCACAACUGACGCUGAGGCGCGAAAGCUAGGGGAGCAAACAGGAUUAGAUACCCGGGUAGUCCCUGUCUCUUAUAC